rnacentral:rRNA from 1 species
ACGCGAAGAACCUUACCUNGGGCUUGAACUACUCGUGGUAGAUCGAUGGAAACAUUGGUCGACCCGCAAGGGAGCGAGCAGAGGUGCUGCAUGGUUGUCGUCAGCUCGUGUCGUGAGAUGUUGGGUUAAGUCCCGCAACGAGCGCAACCCCUACUCGAUGUUGCUAAUUCCGUAAGGAAUGCACUCUUCGAGAACUGCCUUCGAUAAGAAGGAGGACGGUGGGGACCACUUCAAAUCCCCAUGGACCUUAUGUCCAGGGCCUACACACAUGCUACCUAAGCGACGCACGACAGUCCAACAUAGAAGCAAGCGCAACCAUACCACAUAACAUCAGUAUUCUCUCCUAAUAACAGGCAUAAUCUACGGAAACUUACGAAACUCUAAACCAUAACACCUUCUAAUACCACCACCAUCUACUAUACGCACCUCUCUCAAUACCACAUCACAUCCCGAAUUC